UCUCCAGUCGCUCAGCCGGCAGAGCGGAUGGCUAUUGACCAUCGGGACCGUGGUUCGAGUCCGCUCCGGGGAGCCA
rnacentral:tRNA from 1 species